rnacentral:tRNA from 1 species
GGGCUCCAGAUGAGCAACGUUGGGUCUUCAACCCAGUGGUCCAGGGUUCGAAUCCCUGUGGGCCCA